GGAAAACGCGGAGAAUCGGUUUAAGAAGCACAACUGGACCAUUAAGGGAAUCCGAGAGGAAACGCCAUCGAAGGAGGAACUACGAAAUGAAAAAUUGGGAUCGAUUGUUCGCUCGGAAUAAAAUUCUGAAUAUAAGAUAAGUUCUUUGGAAGGAUGAACGUGAAACGAGGAACUUAGAAUACAUUAAAGUUUAAAGUAUUCCAGAUUCCUUCGAGUAAAGGAACUUAAAGCAAGGAAUUUAAAACAAGUUUCUACGAACAAGAACCUUGA
rnacentral:misc_RNA from 1 species